CUCAAGAAACGUUUCUGAUUAUGUUGAAAGCGACGUGCGCCGCAAUAUUUUGCGACGCGUUUUAUUUUUCGACCGAGCCAAAUCCUCACGACGCCGUAAACGGUCGCUUUUGCCAAAUAGAAGCGUUUUUCACACCAGAGCGCGCAUCACGUGCUAAUUCAUAAAGGUGGCGCUUCGUUUUAACGAUUUCAACCAAGCUCUAAUUGAUUCUGUAUCCACUUUGGAAGUUUCGGAAAUGCUCGGUCGUGUCCUGAACGCCCUCGCGCCCGGAUUUCGCUCGUGCAUUAAUUUGCGUUUCUGGGAAAAACGAAAAUCCUUUUCAGAAACGGCACGCCAUUCCCAACGCAUCCCGCGAGUCUGUGGAAACUAUUUCACGGUCAGGGCUUGCGCGGGAUUAAUGUGUGUGUUUUUUUUUUAUUUCUUAGAAAUCAAUUUCUCUCUCUCUCUCUCUGGAUCUCGUUAACGCUUGAAAGUAGGAAUCCCGAGUUCAUCGUUUAGUUGAGUCGUUUCGCUCGCACAAUGAGAGUCUGGCGCGCUCUUUAGCCGCGCGUUUGAAACGCAGACGCUCGGAGAGCUUCAUUAUUGUUCGGUGUCAUUCCAAUUUAGAUAAGAGAGUAAUCUGUCUAAUGCCACUGAUACAGCUCGUCUAAGUGUGCCUGCGAAGGUCUGAUAGCUGUCAGGGAGAGAAAGGAGCAGAGGAUUAUGGGAUUCAGGCCGUGUCUCGCUCUGAGCUGAUGAUCUAACAGGUGUUUUCGGUGCACAGGUGUCUGAAAAUUAACACGUGUUUUAAUCGCGGGACCUCUCGCUGUGGUCAGGGGCUGCUUUCAGGGGGUUUCCUGCAGAAACGCGCCGGCGCCCUCGCAUAGAGCAGGCCUCCGAAUGUCACGCCGCUGCCGUAACGAGGGAAGGCGGGCUCGUAAACACUUUUCUCUCUUCAUUACGGCACGACAGACAAACCGUUUAUCCUGCGGCUCGAGGUCCGAUCCCGGUCUCCGUCUUCCUCUGAGGGCUCCCCGCUCGUUUCUGGCCGUUGAGUUAAUCGCGCUAAUUGAAUAAUUUGAUACGUGACGGCGCUAUUUAAUGGAGGUCGGAGGAAUCUCUCAGCCGGAGAGAGAAGCUCAGUCAGGUCGUGUGUGUGUGUGUGUGUGUGUGUGUGUGUGUGUGUGUGUGUGUGUGUGUGUGUGUGUGUGUGUGUGUGUGUGUGUGUGUGUGUGUGUGUGUGUGUGUGUGUGUGUGAGAGGGAUCUGAAGCUCUUCUGUGUGGGUUAUGUAAUCAGAACACCUGCAGAGAUAAUAUUCACCGUUUGGGAGUAAAAACAUCAGCAGUGUCGCGGCUUUCCUGUGAAAAAUGAGUGGGAAAAGUUCAUUAUUGGAAGAAUCGUGCCGCCGAAUUGAUUUAUAACUGCUGCGUAUGAAUGCAAAUAUAGUUUUUUGUGCCUGGAUCCCGUGCGCCUGACGGUUUGGAUUUAGAGAGGCCUUGUUUUCAUCUUCUGAAAAUGAGAAACGGGUUCAUUCGAGGAGUAUUUUCCUGGGGAUUCUGGUUGAAUAAGGCCCGUGUGGAGAUAGUUUCACAUGUUAUUCGGACACCUUCUUGCUAGAUCUCUUUUUAAAGCUCGCGCGCUCCUUUUGGACGUUAAACGUCGUAAAACGCGCAGGAAAAACCGUUUAGAGUCGCUCUCGCAGGCUGUUCUAAGCCGAAGCUUCAGUGAAAAUGUUUUUGAAUAGAAACCGAAGUGGCGGUGUAAUUAUUGUUUUUAGCUGUUUGCUGCUGUGUUUGUCUUCAGCUCGAGGACUACAAUCAAGGAAAGCGUUUUCUUUUCAAGAGACGAGGUCCAGUCGGCGGAGACUUUGUAGCUUUGUGUAUUGUUUACAUGCAGCUUUAUUACACACUAAAGAAGCAUAAUAACUAACCAAAAAAAAAAAAGUUUA